AGGAGACGCUGGCGGCGUGGAUUAGGCAUGCAAGUCGAACGGUAUCAUCCUUUCGGGGAUGAGAGAGUGGCGAACGGGUGAGUAACACGUAGGUUAUCUACCCUCAAGACGGGGACAACCCAGGGAAACUUGGGCUAAUACCGGAUGUGAGCAACUUUUAGUGUUUGAAAGGUGGCGUAAGCUGUCGCUUGGGGAUGAGCCUGCGUCCUAUUAGUUAGUUGGUGAGGUAACGGCUCACCUAGGCAAUGAUAGGUAGGCGGCCUUAACGGGUGGUCGCCCACACUGGGAUUGAGAUACGGCCCAGACUCCUACGGGAGGCAGCAGUCGAGAAUAGUCUACAAUGGUCGGAAGACUGAUAGUGCGACGCCGCGUGAACGAUGAAUCCCUUCGGGGUGUAAAGUUCUUUUAUAUGUGAGCAGUGCUUCUUAUAUUAACAGUAUGGGGAGAGAGAUAUUAGCAUAUGAAUAAGCAACGGCUAACUCCGUG
rnacentral:rRNA from 1 species